AUGAACAUUGCUCUCCUCACCCGAUGGCUAUGGCGUAUUGCCAACGGGGAGGGCGGCCUCUGGCUUACCAUCAUUCAGAAUAAGUACCUCCGAGGACAACCUCUUGCUUUCUGCCAGCGCUCUGGGGGAUCCCAGUUCUGGCAGGCGGUGAUUCAGCUCCUCCCCGUGCUCCGGAUUGGCACUUCCAUCUCGGUGGGUUCUGGGUCCUCGACCCUGUUUUGGCUCGACCGCUGGCUUGGAGAUUCCCCUCUGGCCGCCCGCUUCCCGGGCUUAUUUGCCAUUGCGACAGAUCCCCGAAUUUCCGUCGAAGCGGCCCUUAUUGACUUAGGGCGCCUCGCCUUUCGGCGCUCCUUUGGCCCCCAGGAGGUUGACGCGUGGGACGCCCUUCUACAGGACAUCGCUCUCUUGCCAAUGCAGGUAGAGGGCGCCACCGACUCCAUGGCGUGGCGUCUGGAGCCCUCAGGAUGCUUCUCCACGAAGUCUUUGUAUGCUGCCAUUGCCCCUUCGCUGGCCCCUGAGCCCUUUAGCCUGAUCUGGGACAUUCAUCUCCCCCUCAAGAUCCGGAUAUUCCUCUGGCAGUGGAUUCGGGGACGUCUCCCCUCUGGGGUGGAAGUCCGCAAGCGCAAUGGCCCUGGGGACGGGAUGUGUCCCCUGUGCGCCACGGUGGAGGAUUCGAACCACGUUUUCUUCAACUGCUCCACUGCCCAGUUCCUGUGGUCGUGCUUCCGUGAAACGGUCGGCGGACAGUGGUGCAAUUCCAACUUCCCUGACCUACUCGCGGAGAUCAAUGCCUCCUCCCCGCGUUACCGCCAUAUUAGAUGGUUGUGCAUUGGGAUCCUUGCAUGGACGCUUUGGAAUAUUCGCAACAAGCUCGUUAUUCAGAAAGUUCCUUUGCGACGUGCGACUGACGCGAUCUUCAAAAUGUGUGGCUAUUUGCAGCUUCGGCGGCCGCUUAGCCGCCCCCAGGACCGGAGCACCAUCGACACCCUCCUCACCGACCUUCGAUCGAUGGCCUUCCGCAUGGCGCCCCCGCUUCCGCCACCACCGCCGGAACCUGAUUAG
rnacentral:rRNA from 1 species